UUGGAUCAUUACAAAAUUUGGUUUACACCAAACUUUGUUUUACAACAACACACGUUUCUGGUUGCGAUGCCUCUUUCGGGAGGUUUGCUUGCCGGAUUUUGUCAGAUGUCUUUUUGUUUUCUUUUUUUUUCGCCGCUUGUUGGAGCUUCAAGUGACCGAGGGAAUGAUCGUGGGUGUGUGACGGGGAAUUUUUUUGGAUUUCAUUAUUCAAGAUUAUGACUGCCAACUGCCCACAAUGAUUGUAAUGAUCUCGGUUUGCCAAAAAGUGCUGCGAAUGUUGGAAGCAAUUGAUUCUGACGAGCUCCGAUCAAACUUAGAUUGCUGUUGCUAUUCGGGAAUGGUUUUGAAUGCUCUGAUGCUCAUGUUUUUCAUUCUCUCUGUGGUACGACGGAUGCUUUCCCCCGGGAAGGUGAUAACUCGUUACCAUGUCCUUGAUUCAUUUCUUGGACAGUCGAGACUACGAUUAACGGGUCAUCUUAGCCUGAAAAGACAACUUUUCUGGAUUCGACGCCCGGAAACCACCCCGGGUGGCGCUGAUUUUAUCAGAUGCUGCUUGGGGAUGAACCUAGUACUAUUUUUUUUUGUCUGAAUCAUUCACUAUUUGGUGAAAUGAAAAACAACUUUUGACAACGGAUCUCUUGGCUCUCGCAACGAUGAAGAACGCAGCGAAUUGCGAUAAGUAAUGUGAAUUGCAGAAUUCAGUGAAUCAUCAAAUCUUUGAACGCCCAUUGCGCUCCUUGGUAUUCCGGGGAGCAUGUCUGUUUGAGAAUCAAUAAAUCUCACACCACCAGAUCGNNUUGAUUAAUUUCGCUCAGGUCCGGAGGUGGAUUUGAGUCUUUNGCGUUUCACUGUGAACACAAUGACUUUAAAUACAAUGUCUGCAGCUUNCUCUNGAUGGAGAAUGGCUUUGAGUGCAUGAACUGUCUUAAUUAACUUAGAUUUCACUCCUGUAAGCUUUCAUUCCUGAUGUCUGGGAGAUGCGCUGUUGGACCCACCCAUACAUCUCUGGGAGUCUGAUUCAUUUCGGCCCUCGCAUUGAAUACUUGGCCUCAAAUCAGGUAGGAAAACCCGCUGAACUUAAGCAUAUCAAUAAGCGGAGGAAAAGAAACUAACAAGGAUUCCCCUAGUAACGGCGAGUGAAGCGGGAAUAGCUCAAAUUUGAAAUCUUAUGGGUUUACCCAUACGAAUUGUAGUUUAGAGAAACGUUUUCGGAUGAGACAUGAGCAUAAGUCCUUUGGAAGGGGGCAUCAUAGAGGGUGAGAAUCCCGUCUUUGGCUCAUUGUUCUUUUCUAUGUGAUGCGUUUUCCACGAGUCGGUUUGUUUGGGAAUGCAGACCAAAAUGGGUGGUAAAUACCAUCUAAAGCUAAAUACUGGCGAGAGACCGAUAGCGAACAAGUACCGUGAGGGAAAGAUGAAAAGAACUUUGAAAAGAGAGUUAAACAGUACGUGAAAUUGUCAAAAGGGAAACGCUUGAAACCAGUAUUGCUUGCAAAUAAUCAGCCAUUCUCUUUUGCGUGGUGCACUUGUUUGUCAGCGGGUCAACAUCAGUUUGAUUUGGGGUAAAAAGCUAGGGGAAGGUAGCCCAGGGCUUGCUCUGGGUGUUAUAGCCUCUGGUCCUGCCUUGGAUUGGACUGAGGUCUGCAGCGUCUUUUUGGAUAUCCGGUCGCCUCUUGAAACCAUUGGGCAGACAGCUUGCUGACUGUUUGAUGACGUAGGGAGCCCGGUCGGGUUUUCACUCCAGCGCUUAGGAUGUUGACGAAAUGGUUUUAAACGACC
rnacentral:rRNA from 1 species